rnacentral:rRNA from 1 species
AUUGAACGCUGGCGGCAGGCCUAACACAUGCAAGUCGAACGAGUGGCGGACGGGUGAGUAAUGUCUGGGAAACUGCCUGAUGGAGGGGGAUAACUACUGGAAACGGUAGCUAAUACCGCAUACCAUCAGAUGUGCCCAGAUGGGAGUAGCUUGUUGGGGGGGUAAGGGCUCACCACUGCGACGACCCCGAGCUGGUCUGAGAGGAUGACCAGCCACACGGGAACUUAGACACGGGCCAGACUCCUACGGGAGGCAGCAGGGGGGAAGAUGGCACAAUGGGCGAAAGCCUGAUGCAGCCAUGCAGCGUGUAUGAAGAAGGCCUUAGGGUUGUAAAGUACUUUCAGCGGGGAGGCGUUACCCGCAGAAGAAGCACCGGCUAACUCCGUGCCAGCAGCCGCGGUAAUUC